CUUAAAUGAAUUGACGGGGAGCACCACAACGGGUGGAGCCUGCGGUUAAUUGGACUCAACGCCGGGGCAGCUCACCGGAUAAGACAGCUGGAUGAUAGCCGGGCUGAAGACUCUGCUUGACUAGCUGAGAGGAGGUGCAUGGCCGUCGUCAGUUCGUACUGUGAAGCAUCCUGUUAAGUCAGGCAACGAGCGAGACCCACGCCAACAGUUGCCAGCAUGUCCUCCGGGAUGAUGGGGACACUGUUGGGACCGCCUCUGCUAAAGAGGAGGAAGGAAUGGGCAACGGUAGGUCAGUAUGCCCCGAAUAUCCCGGGCUACACGCGAGCUACAAUGGUUGGUACAAUGGGUAUCUACCCCGAAAGGGGACGGGAAUCUCCUAAAACCAAUCUUAGUUCGGAUUGAGGGCUGCAACUCGCCCUCAUGAAGCUGGAAUCCGUAGUAAUCGCGUUUCAACAGAACGCGGUGAAUACGUCCCUGCUCCUU
rnacentral:rRNA from 1 species